CCUACGGGCGGCUGCAGUGGGGAAUAUUGGACAAUGGGGGCAACCCUGAUCCAGCCAUGCCGCGUGUGUGAAGAAGGCCCUCGGGUUGUAAAGCACUUUCAGUGAGGAAGAACGCCUGGUGGUUAAUACCCAUCAGGAAAGACAUCACUCACAGAAGAAGCACCGGCUAACUCCGUGCCAGCAGCCGCGGUAAUACGGAGGGUGCGAGCGUUAAUCGGAAUUACUGGGCGUAAAGCGCGCGUAGGUGGCUUGAUAAGCCGGUUGUGAAAGCCCCGGGCUCAACCUGGGAACGGCAUCCGGAACUGUCAAGCUAGAGUGCAGGAGAGGAAGGUAGAAUUCCCGGUGUAGCGGUGAAAUGCGUAGAGAUCGGGAGGAAUACCAGUGGCGAAGGCGGCCUUCUGGACUGAAACUGACACUGAGGUGCGAAAGCGUGGGUAGCAAACAGGAUUAGAUACCCGAGUAGUC
rnacentral:rRNA from 1 species